GUGGGGAAUCUUCCGCAAUGGACGAAAGUCUGACGGAGCAACGCCGCGUGAACGAUGACGGCCUUCGGGUUGUAAAGUUCUGUUAUACGGGACGAAUGGCGUAGCGGUCAAUACCCGUUACGAGUGACGGUACCGUAAGAGAAAGCCACGGCUAACUACGUGCCAGCAGCCGCGGUAAUACGUAGGUGGCAAGCGUUGUCCGGAAUUAUUGGGCGUAAAGGGCGCGCAGGCGGCGUCGUAAGUCGGUCUUAAAAGUGCGGGGCUUAACCCCGUGAGGGGACCGAAACUGCGAUGCUAGAGUAUCGGAGAGGAAAGCGGAAUUCCUAGUGUAGCGGUGAAAUGCGUAGAUAUUAGGAGGAACACCAGUGGCGAAAGCGGCUUUCUGGACGACAACUGACGCUGAGGCGCGAAAGCCAGGGGAGCAAACGGGAUUAGAAACCCUUGUAGUCC
rnacentral:rRNA from 1 species